UACAUUGAAGAGAGACGGCAGCUACUUGACCUCACUUUGGAAUCUCCUAAGAGUGGCUGAAAUCAGUCACACCCCAUUCUUUAAUAAGAACACACGCCUCAAUCAAAAUCAAAAAGCUGCCUCCUCCUUCAGGACUGAAACUCUUUCCGCCAUAGCAGCGACAACCAUCACAAUCCUCUAUCACUUUCUUGGCCAAAAGCUUCAAUAAAUUACAAAACAGGGAUGGAUUAAACAUUGAGGAUAAGUUUCGGGCUAGUGCUAACUCCGAUCAAGGUUGCCGUUGAGGUCUUGAGUUGCCGGGUUCCGUCCGGAUUCAUCGGCGAAUGCUCCGUUCAAGAGUCGUUGAGUUGUUUAGCCUCUUGUAAUUCCAAUUUGGUUGAUUUAUUCCAAAGGGUCCAGGUUAUUUGAGAUGGUGCCAGUCGACUUAAUAUUCAAUGGGUUACUGAGCCUGAAUUUGUCUACACAGAAAAAUUGGUGAAGACUUGGACAAGUUAUGACUCCGACUUACUUUCACUGUUUCACACAUAGACAUAGUGAAUGAAUUCACAAAUGAGCUAGAAUUUUUAGGGGUUCAACAACUUAUAGUUGUUGCCCCAUCUGGUAAGUUUUAUGUGAUUGAAGGGGAUGAUGGUAUCAGACAUUUACAAAAGUUAAUAGGCAAUGAUUUCAAUGUAGUGAAUCUAUUUGGUGUAGAUAAAUGUGAGCCCCCUAUUUACUCUAUUCCCAAUAUUGUACAGUAUGAGGAAGAAUCUAAUAAAAUUAUGGAUGAUGUUGAUACUGAUUGUAGCUUAAGUGAUGUAUGAUCUGACUCUAGUACUGAUUCUAAAGAAUUAGAAGCACUUAAAGCACAAAAAAGGAAAAUAAUUGAAAAACUUAGUGACUACAAAGAGUUAUACAAAAGUAUGUACUUUAAGGACAUACCAGAAGCUAGAAAGUGUAUGGAGUUAUAGUCUCUUGCUAACAAGAAAAGUUUGAAAUUGGAGAAGAGUGACCUAGAAAGGCUCAGGUAUAGUUGUGAUAUUGUUGGUUGUCUCUUUGUUUGUUUAAUAUCAAAAGAAAAGAUUGGUGGGGUUAAAAUCAAGACUUUAAAUGCUGAACAUGAUUAUGGCACUUUAUUUGAUAAUAAAACUGUUAAUUUUAGUACUAUUGCACAAUAUUUCAAGAAGAAGUUACAAGAUAAUCCUAAGUACAAGGUUACGGAGAUGACGUUAGGUUUGAAGAGAAUCUUUGAGCUAAAUAUUAGUCAUGGGAAGUGCAAGAGGGAGACCUAAGGUUAAUAGAGAUAGGCAGAAGGAUGAGGCAAUAAAAAGACAAGGAGUGUGGUCACAGUCCAGAAAAGGAAGAAUCAUGACUUGCAGCAAAUGUGGAGAAACAACUCAUAAUGCAAGGACUUAUGGUCAGGAACGAGUUUGGAUGAUAAAUGAUCAAAAGAUGAUAAUUCGACACAAAAAGAAGAGAUUGAAAGAAUAGGGAGCUCGUCCAAUUUCGUGCGUGGCACGAAAACGGACGCGAAAAAGGAGAAAAAUGAAGGCACAAAACAGUGAAGCGAAGGCACGGAUCACUUCGCGAACUGGAGAAUUGCAAAAGCUGAGUCCGCAUCCAAGUUCGCGCGCUGCACAAAGUUAACGCGCCCUCCAGCUCUCCUAUCCGAUUUUGGAUUGCCUUGGAUGGCCCUCCACCCUACCUAGGUCAUAUAAAUACAUCCUAAAACUACUUUGGAAGAGAAAGAAGACUUUAGGGAGGUAAGAACACGCUGGGAACAAGAAGGAGAAGGAUUCAACUUCACGUUUUUCCCUCUUUCUUCCUCUAUUUCCUUUAUUGGUUAUGAAUUCUAGUAUUGUAGUUCUGCAUACUAUUAUGAAUAGCUAAUUCGUUA